AGCCUCGUAACUCAAGUGGUUAGAGCGUUGACCGAAACAAACCCUCCCCUUGCUGUCGUGGGUUCGAGUCCCACCGAGGCCU
rnacentral:tRNA from 1 species